AACCCAUGCUAAGGACAUUUCCGCAGGAGAUCUUUGAACCUAUCCUAUACCUCAAAAAGAGACUCUAAUUCCAUUUACACAAAAGAGGAUAUUUCAUUCAUGAGCUU